rnacentral:rRNA from 1 species
GGGGCUGAAGCAGGUCCCAAGGGUAUGGCUGUUCGCCAUUUAAAGAGGUACGCGAGCUGGGUUUAGAACGUCGUGAGACAGUUCGGUCCCUAUCUACCGUGGGCGCUGGAAAUUUGAGAGGAUCUGCUCCUAGUACGAGAGGACCAGAGUGGACGAACCUCUGGUGUACCGGUUGUGACGCCAGUCGCAUCGCCGGGUAGCUAUGUUCGGAAGGGAUAACCGCUGAAAGCAUCUAAGCGGGAAGCCUACCUCAAGAUAAGAUUUCCCUAGGACUUUAUGUCCUCUAAAGAGCCGUUCGAGACUAGGACGUUGAUAGGUUGGAUGUGGAAGCAUAGUGAUAUGUGAAGCUGACCAAUACUAAUUGCUCGUGAGGCUUGACUAUACAACACCCAAGCAGUUG